CCUACGGGAGGCAGCAGUAGGGAAUAUUGCUCAAUGGGGGAAACCCUGAAGCAGCAACGCCGCGUGGAGGAUGAAGGUUUUCGGAUUGUAAACUCCUUUUGUUAGGGAAGAUAAUGACGGUAUCUAACGAAUAAGCACCGGCUAACUACGUGCCAGCAGCCGCGGUAAUACGGAGGGUGCAAGCGUUACUCGGAAUCACUGGGCGUAAAGGGCGCGUAGGCGGGAUAGCAAGUCAGAUGUGAAAUCCUAUGGCUUAACCAUAGAACUGCAUUUGAAACUGUUAUUCUAGAGUAUAGGAGAGGUAGGUGGAAUUCGUGGUGUAGGGGUAAAAUGCGUAGAGAUCAAGAGGAAUACUCAUUGCGAAGGCGGCCUGCUAGAACAUAACUGACGUUGAUGCGCGAAAGCGUGGGGAGCAAACAGGAUUAGAUACCCGGGUAGUC
rnacentral:rRNA from 1 species